rnacentral:tRNA from 1 species
ACCGCAAUAGCUCAGUUGGGACAGCAUUAUACUAUAGGUCAAAAAGUCCCUAGUGCGAUCCCGGGUUCCGGCA